rnacentral:rRNA from 1 species
GACGAACGCUGGCGGCGUGCUUAACACAUGCAAGUCGAACGGAAAGGCCCCUUUGGGGGUACUCGAGUGGCGAACGGGUGAGUAACACGUGAGUAACCUGCCCUUGACUUCGGGAUAACCUCAGGAAACUGGGGCUAAUACCGGAUAGGAAUCCUUGCUGCAUGGUGGGGGUUGGAAAGCUUCGGCGGUUUUGGAUGGACUCGCGGCUUAUCAGCUUGUUGGUGGGGUAGUGGCUUACCAAGGCUUUGACGGGUAGCCGGCCUGAGAGGGCGACCGGCCACAUUGGGACUGAGAUACGGCCCAGACUCCUACGGGAGGCAGCAGUGGGGAAUAUUGCACAAUGGGCGGAAGCCUGAUGCAGCAACGCCGCGUGCGGGAUGACGGCCUUCGGGUUGUAAACCGCUUUCAGCAGGGGCGAAGCUUGUGGUGACGGUACCUGCAGAAGAAGCACCGGCUAACUACGUG